rnacentral:rRNA from 1 species
UGGGGAAUCUUCCGCAAUGGACGAAAGUCUGACGGAGCAACGCCGCGUGAGUGAAGAAGGUUUUCGGAUCGUAAAACUCUGUCUUUUGGGGCGAACGUGAGUAUGGUGAACAAUCAUAGUCAGUGACGGUACCAAAGGAGGAAGCCACGGCUAACUACGUGCCAGCAGCCGCGGUAAUACGUAGGUGGCAAGCGUUGUCCGGAAUUAUUGGGCGUAAAGAGCGCGUAGGCGGGAUAGUCAGUCUGUUGUAAAGUGCGGGCUCAACCCCGUGAUGGCAAUGGAACACUAUUCUUGAGUGCAGGAGAGGAAAGGUGGAAUUCCCAGUGUAGCGGUGAAAUGCGUAGAUAUUGGGAGGAACACCAGUGGCGAAGGCGACUUUCUGGACUGUGUCUGACGCUGAGGCGCGAAAGCCAGGGGAGCGAACGGGAUUAGAUACCCCCGGUAGUCCUGGGCCGUAAACGAUGGGUACUAGGUGUGGGGAGGUAUCGACCCCCCUUU